rnacentral:rRNA from 1 species
UACGGAGGGGGCUAGCGUUGUUCGGAAUUACUGGGCGUAAAGCGCACGUAGGCGGCUUUGUAAGUUAGAGGUGAAAGCCCGGGGCUCAACUCCGGAACUGCCUUUAAGACUGCAUCGCUUGAAUCCAGGAGAGGUGAGUGGAAUUCCGAGUGUAGAGGUGAAAUUCGUAGAUAUUCGGAAGAACACCAGUGGCGAAGGCGGCUCACUGGACUGGUAUUGACGCUGAGGCGCGAAAGCUAGGGGAGCAAACGGG